rnacentral:lncRNA from 1 species
UUGAUAACAGGUCGUGGGACGGUUGAGAGAGAGGAGGUCGUGGCUGGGGAUAAGGCAGCUGUCUUAGCCCUCAGCCAGCUGUCGGCAAAGACAGCCGUUAGUCUUUGCCCUCAGCUGGGUGUCGGCAAAGACGACCCCCGUUUUUUCUUGUCGAGGCGGCGAUUGGGUUAGCCCCUAUGCCACAGCUUUUUUGUCCUUUGCCAUCAGCUGAC